rnacentral:rRNA from 1 species
UACGGAGGGAGCUAGCGUUCUUCGGAAUUACUGGGCGUAAAGCGCACGUAGGCGGCUUUGUAAGUUAGAGGUGAAAGCCUGGAGCUCAACUCCAGAACUGCCUUUAAGACUGCAUCGCUUGAAUCCAGGAGAGGUGAGUGGAAUUCCGAGUGUAGAGGUGAAAUUCGUAGAUAUUCGGAAGAACACCAGUGGCGAAGGCGGCUCACUGGACUGGUAUUGACGCUGAGGUGCGAAAGCGUGGGGAGCAAACAGG